AACACGUGUUUCAGCUCCACAUGUAUGCACCUGCCCUCUUAAAUAAAGUUUUCACCAUGCUUUAUUAGAUGAUGUCGAACGCCCCCUGGAGGAAUACUUGUAUAUAAGCGGAAGUCGUCAUAGAUCGGGAAGCCUCUAGUGGUGAAUGGAGUCCACAGCAGCUGCAUUCAACCCCGACAAAACACUGCAAAACAUUUUUUAAAUGGAAACGGUGGUGCGCUGAACACCCUGUUCUGAUGACCCAAGAGAAUGCCAUUCUUUCUGUUCUUCAUUAAGAAUUUUCUGAGCCUGAUGAAAUCUGUAUAAAUACAUGUUAAAUACGCAAAAUACACUCAAUGUGACAGUCACUGCCCUUGCUGUCCUGGAUAAAAGACAACAUCCCAAUAGCAUGAAGGGUUUGUAGAAACUGUGUUUGCUAAUUAUUGUGAUCCAACAUUUGCCUCGCAUUUCAGGAUGAAAAGACAACCAUUUCAGGUGAAGAAUAAUCCACUUCUUACCCCUGAGACUGUGUUAUUAUCUACAUGACCGUAUUAUUUUAAUUGUGAGUAUUCAGCUUAUCAUUAUUGCUGAUCACUGUUGUUGUGCUAUGUUAUUGUAAUAUUUACCAUUUUAUAAUCAGAGGACUAUAGAACCGUUUAUGAAAGUGUCACUCCGCAAUAAAAUAGCAAAAUACAUAUAUAUAGUAUUUUUAUGUUCCAUUAAUCAGUAUUUCGCACACGUUCCUAAGGAAAGGAUAUGAACCAAAAGAAAUUGCAAUUACUAAAUGAAAUUUACAAAGACUUCAAGAAGUUCCAGAUCUAUACUUGUGCUCUUAUUAUUUCAGUAAUUUUGUCUUUAAUGUAAUUAAUAAUCUGCAACAAAUAUACUUGCUCUUGGGGAUUUCUUUUUGAGGUUAAUUACAUUGUGCAGCUGUCUCUUUAAUAUCGCGUGGUUUUAAACCAAACAAGACAAAAUGCUUUAAGGCUUGUUUCUGAUCCACGCCUCUAAACUUCAUUUUCUCCAGGAUAAAAGAAGAAAGCUAAAAUCA